rnacentral:rRNA from 1 species
CGAAAGAGAGUCUGAACAGGGCGUAUCGUAAGUUAUAGUAGACCCGAAACCGUAGUGAUCUAUCCAUGGCCAGGUUGAAGCACAGGUAAAAUUGUGUGGAGGACCGAACUCGUGAGCGUUGAAAAGCUUUGGGAUGAGUUGUGGAUAGGGGUGAAAUGCCAAUCGAACACGGAGAUAGCUGGUUCUCCCCGAAAUAGCUUUAGGGCUAGCCUCGAGGUAGAGAGUAUAGACGGUAGAGCACUGAUCGGGCUAGGGGCCAUACCGGUUACCGAACCUAGUCAAACUACGAAUGGCUAUACUUAUACUCGGGAGUCAGACAGUGAAUGAUAAGGUCCAUUGUCAAGAGGGAAACAGCCCAGAACACCGACUAAGGUCCCCAAUGUUACACUAAGUGGCGAAGGAUGUGGAAUUUCCAAAACAACCAGGAUGUUGGCUUAGAAGCAGCCACCAUUUAAAGAGUGCGUAAUAGCUCACUGGUCGAGAGACUCUGCGCCGAAAAUGUCCGGGGCUAAAGUGUAAAACCGAAGUCGUGUCAUAUGCAGCAAUGUAUAUGGGUAGGGGAGCGUUCUCAUCGGGCUGAAGCAGUACCGUAAGGAGUUGUGGACUGAUGAGAAGUGAGAAUGUCGGUAUGAGUAGCGAAAAGAAUGGUGAGAAUCCAUUCCACCGAAAGCCUAAGGGUUCCUGAGCAACGAUCGUCGUCUCAGGGUAAGUCGGGACCUAAGCCGAGGCGGAAAAGCGUAGGCGAUGGACAACAGGUUGAAAUUCCUGUACCGGUGUGAAUCGUUUGAUCGAUGGAGUGACACAGUAAGGUAGGUCAGCACGCGAUUGGAAGAGCGUGUUUAAGCAGGUAGGUUGAGCUAUAGGCAAAUCCGUAGCUCUAAAAGCUGAGAUGUGAUGACGAGUGACUAGCAAUAGUCGCGAAGUGAUUGAUCCUACACUGUCGAGAAAAGCUUCUAGGUAGAGACACAUCGCCCGUACCAAAACCGACACAGGUAGGCGGGGAGAGAAUCCUAAGGUGCGCGGGAAAACCCUCGUUAAGGAACUCGGCAAAAUGCCUCCGUAACUUCGGGAAAAGGAGGACUCAUGUAGUGUGAAGAGCAGAAGCGCUUGGAGCAUGAAUGAGUGGCACAAGAGAGGCGCAAGCGACUGUUUACCACAAACACAGGUGCCUGCUAAAGCGAAAGCUGAUGUAUAGGUGCUGACACCUGCCCGGUGCUGGAAGGUUAAGAGGAGGGGUUAGACUUCGGUCGAAGCUCUGAAUUGAAGCCCCAGUAAACGGCGGCCGUAACUAUAACGGUCCUAAGGUAGCGAAAUUCCUUGUCGGGUAAGUUCCGACCCGCACGAAAGGUGUAACGACUUGCGCACUGUCUCAACGAGGGACCCGGUGAAAUUGAAGUACCUGUGAAGAUGCAGGUUACCCGCGACUGGACAGAAAGACCCCAUGGAGCUUUACUGCAACCUAAGAUUGAACUUAGUUAAUGAAUGUACAGGAUAGGUGGGAGACUUAGAACCUAGGACGCCAGUUUUAGGGGAGUCGCUGUUGGGAUACCACCCUUUCAUUAAUUGAUUUCUAACGGGCCGAGUAACGACCGGCCGGACAGUCUUAGGCGGGCAGUUUGACUGGGGCGGUCGCCUCCAAAAGAGUAACGGAGGCGCCCAAAGGUUCCCUCAGAGCGGACGGAAAUCGCUCGAAGAGUGUAAAGGCAGAAGGGAGCUUGACUGCGAGACGGACAGGUCGAGCAGGGACGAAAGUCGGGCUUAGUGAUCCGGUGGUGCCGAGUGGAAGGGCCAUCGCUCAACGGAUAAAAGCUACCCUGGGGAUAACAGGCUAAUCUCUCCCAAGAGUCCAUAUCGACGGGGAGGUUUGGCACCUCGAUGUCGGCUCAUCACAUCCUGGGGCUGAAGUAGGUCCCAAGG